rnacentral:lncRNA from 1 species
AAACUUUUUGUUGUUGUUUUCUUUUGUUUUGAAAGAAAAGGUCUCAUGUCGUCCAUUCUAGUCUCAAACUCAUUUGCAUAGCUUAGGAUCACACUGAACUCCUGACCCCCUCACCUCGACCUGCCAGACAGAUGCUGGGAUUACAUGUGGGAUCCAUCACACCUGUCUUUUCUUGCCUUUUCACAUGUGUAUUAUUUGCAAUAAAAGGUUUUAAAC